rnacentral:rRNA from 1 species
UACAGAGGGGGCAAGCGUUGUUCGGAAUUACUGGGCGUAAAGGGCGCGUAGGCGGCCUUCUAAGUCGAACGUGAAAUCCCCGGGCUCAACCCGGGAACUGCGUCCGAUACUGGAAGGCUUGAAUCCGGGAGAGGGAUGCGGAAUUCCAGGUGUAGCGGUGAAAUGCGUAGAUAUCUGGAGGAACACCGGUGGCGAAGGCGGCAUCCUGGACCGGCAUUGACGCGUGAGGCGCGAAAGCCAGGGAGCAAAGCGGG